UCUACGGGAGGCAGCAGUGGGGAAUAUUGCGCAAUGGGCGAAAGCCUGACGCAGCGACGCCGCGUGAGGGAUGAAGGUCUUCGGAUCGUAAACCUCUGUCAGCAGGGAGGAACGGUCACUGUGCUAAUCAGCAGUGAAUUGACGGUACCUGCAAAGGAAGCACCGGCUAACUCCGUGCCAGCAGCCGCGGUAAUACGUAGGGUGCGAGAGUUAAGCGGAAUUACUGGGCGUAAAGAGUUCGUAGGCGGUAUGUCAAGUCAGGGGUGAAAUCCCCGCGCUCAACGUGGGAAAGGCCGUGGAAACUGGCAAACUGGAGUGUGUGAGAGGAUAGUGGAAUUCCAGGGGGAGGAGUGAAAUCCGUAGAUAUCUGGAGGAACAUCAGUGGCGAAGGCGACUAUCUGGCACAUAACUGACGCUGAGGAGCGAAAGCGUGGGUAGCAAACAGGAUUAGAUACCCGAGUAGUC
rnacentral:rRNA from 1 species